rnacentral:rRNA from 1 species
UGAGGAAUAUUGGGCAAUGGUCGGAAGACUGACCCAGCCAUGCCGCGUGCAGGAAGACGGUCCUAUGGAUUGUAAACUGCUUUUAUACGGGAAGAAACGGUGGUUCGUGAACCAUUUUGACGGUACCGUAUGAAUAAGCAUCGGCUAACUCCGUGCCAGCAGCCGCGGUAAUACGGAGGAUGCGAGCGUUAUCCGGAAUCAUUGGGUUUAAAGGGUCCGUAGGCGGCUUUAUAAGUCAGUGGUGAAAUCUUCCGGCUCAACCGGGAAACUGCCGUUGAUACUGUAAGGCUUGAAUUAUUGUGAAGUAGCUAGAAUAUGUAGUGUAGCGGUGAAAUGCUUAGAUAUUACAUGGAAUACCAAUUGCGAAGGCAGGUUACUAACAAUGGAUUGACGCUGAUGG